AUGCACGCUGGCGGCGUGCCUAAUACCUGCAAGUCGAGCGAACAGACGAGGAGCUUGCUCCUCUGACGUUAGCGGCGGACGGGUGAGUAACACGUGGAUAACCUACCUAUAAGACUGGGAUAACUUCGGGAAACCGGAGCUAAUACCGGAUAAUAUAUUGAACCGCAUGGUUCAAUAGUGAAAGGCGGUUUUGCUGUCACUUAUAGAUGGAUCCGCGCCGCAUUAGCUAGUUGGUAAGGUAACGGCUUACCAAGGCAACGAUGCGUAGCCGACCUGAGAGGGUGAUCGGCCACACUGGAACUGAGACACGGUCCAGACUCCUACGGGAGGCAGCAGUAGGGAAUCUUCCGCAAUGGGCGAAAGCCUGACGGAGCAACGCCGCGUGAGUGAUGAAGGUCUUCGGAUCGUAAAACUCUGUUAUUAGGGAAGAACAAAUGUGUAAGUAACUAUGCACGUCUUGACGGUACCUAAUCAGAAAGCCACGGCUAACUACGUG
rnacentral:rRNA from 1 species